rnacentral:lncRNA from 1 species
CCAUCUUUACAUUACCAUUCCGACAUUGCAUGACAGUUAGUGCAGGGAGAAGAAGCAUAGCUUCUACUUAUGUUCAUUCUUCCAACGUUUCUUCAAACUUGGAUUUCGUUACUACUCUAUACACACAAUGUUCAAAUCAAAUAGUCUAGUAAGUUUGCUUAUGAAGAGAUUUUGGAGAUUACAAGUUAUGUAACAAGAAGAAAGAAGCUCUGCUAGAAAUCCAUUUCUUGGAGAUUCAAAAUUAACAUUCCCUAAUCGAUGCUCGAAAAAAUAAAAAGAGUGAGACACUAAGAAAAAGAAAAAAAACCUUGACUGUUGCCGUCGGCUACUACAAUUUAAAUGAAUAAGACUCAGAAGUCGACGAGAUGUGAGGAGAAGUCUGGAACAGGCAAGGAGAGACAACCGAUGUGAAUAUCUCUCCGGUCAUUGGGACGCCGAGGAAUUAUCUCGGCGGCGAUUUUGGCGAGAGCAGUCGUGUACUCGCCAAGUAGCUUAGCGAAAAUAACUAUUGGAACCAUUGUGUAGAAGCUAGUUGGACAACGAAAUUUCUCCAAGGGAAUAUGAUCUUAUAGAAUCGGAAUAUUUUGUUGUGGAAUCACUUUUCAAUGGAUGUCUGAAUAUUUUGACAAGGAUUGUUUUUUGGGAAAUGUCGAAUGAAGAAGGAAUGUAGUUAUUGGAAAGGUGGUGUGCGUGUUGACUGGAUUAUUCCCUUUCCG